GCGACCUGGGGGUAGAGAAAAGAACACACCUAGUACCGACCUGCUGUUUUAACUCUGAACACAGAAGAGAGCCAAAGCCACAGAAAGAAAGAGAGAGAGAGAGAGGGAGAGAGAGCUACACAUGAUACUCCUGAGAUGCCAAUGAUCCUGACCCCAUCUGCUCUCCGGACCUGCUCGAUCCACCCUGAUGCCCUAUUUCUGGCUAGAGUUCUCAUCGAUUGGAAGUCACAUGUUGCUGCUGAGGAUGGCCACACGUAGUGCAGCCUAUAUAUCAUUUAGAUUACUGAGGAUGCUACCACUUAAAAAACCAUGAAGAUGGAUUUGUACCUUGAUUCACUUUAUAAAUGUUCAUCAGUUAUGCUAUGAUGGCUAGGACUACAAUUGCUAUGAUAGUUUUAGGACUGCAAUUGUCACAAACAGUUUUACACUCAAGUCUCCAUCAGUGAACAGUGGAUAAGUUCAAUAAAACAGACUUCAUGUAAAAACCGUAAUGAAUUUUUCUGGUUACACAUUUGCAGUAUUUGCACAUUUAUAGAAGGGAUUUAUUUAUAAUUGCACUAUCCUGUGUUACCCAGGUGAGGACGGAUUCCCUUUUGAGUCUGUUUCCUCUCAAGGUUUUUUCCUCAUAGUGUCUCCUCAACCCUGUCACCUCUGGCUUGCUCAUUAGGGAUAAAUUCAUACAUUUAAAAUCUAUAUCCUGAAUGUAUAUAUUUCUGUAAAGCUGCUUUGGGACAAUGUCCAUUGUUAAAAACACUACACAAAUAAAAAUGAUUGAAUUUAAUUAAAUACCAA